GACCUGAUGGUGGAGUUGGUGCCACACCUGUUUUAGAUUACCUCUACAAAACAUAUGUUUAGCAGGGGGCCCUCGUUCAAUUCGGAGUCAGGGUG